rnacentral:tRNA from 1 species
GUGGACGUGCCGGAGUGGUUAUCGGGCAUGACUAGAAAUCAUGUGGACCCUGCCCGCGCAGGUUCGAAUCCUGCCGUCCACG